GAUCUUUUCAGUUCUGCUUCCGAAUGGGCUUGCCCUUGUGGACAACCAUACCAAGCUU
rnacentral:snoRNA from 1 species